rnacentral:rRNA from 1 species
AACGAACGCUGGCGGCAGGCCUAACACAUGCAAGUCGAACGCUCCAGCAAUGGAGAGUGGCAGACGGGUGAGUAACACGUGGGAACCUUCCCUUUGGUUCGGAAUAGCCCAGGGAAACUUGGGGGUAAUACCGGAUAAGCCCUUACGGGGGAAAGAUUUAUCGCCGAAGGAUGGGCCCGCGUCGGAUUAGCUAGUUGGUGGGGUAACGGCCUACCAAGGCGACGAUCCGUAGCUGGUCUGAGAGGAUGAUCAGCCACACUGGGACUGAGACACGGCCCAGACUCCUACGGGAGGCAG